AUUGAACGCUGGCGGCAUGCUUUACACAUGCAAGUCGAACGGUAACAGGCCUUCGGGUGCUGACGAGUGGCGAACGGGUGAGUAAUGCAUCGGAACGUGCCCAAUCGUGGGGAGUAACGUAGCGAAGUUACGCUAAUACCGCAUAAGCCCUCGAGGGGGAAAGGCAGGGGAGUCGCAAGACCUUGCGCGAAUGGAGCGGCCGAUGUCAGAUUAGCUAGUUGGUGGGGUAAAGGGACCGUACCAACGGCGACGAUCUGUAGCGGGUCGUGAGAGGAGUGAUCCGCCACCACUGGGACGUGAGACACGGCCC
rnacentral:rRNA from 1 species